GACGAACGCUGGCGGCAUGCCUAAUACAUGCAAGUCGAGCGAACAGAUGAAGUGCUUGCACCUCUGACGUUAGCGGCGAACGGGUGAGUAACACGUAAGGAAUCUACCUAUAAGCGGGGGAUAACAUUCGGAAACGGGUGCUAAUACCGCAUAAUAUCUUCUUCCGCAUGGAAGAAGAUUGAAAGACGGCUCUGCUGUCACUUAUAGAUGACCUCGCGGUGCAUUAGUUAGUUGGGGGGGUAACGGCCUACCAAGACGAUGAUGCAUAGCCGACCUGAGAGGGUGAUCGGCCACAUUGGGACUGAGACACGGCCCAAACUCCUACGGGAGGCAGCAGUAGGGAAUCUUCCGCAAUGGGCGAAAGCCUGACGGAGCAAUGCCGCGUGAGUGAAGAAGGCCUUCGGGUCGUAAAACUCUGUUAUAAGAGAAGAACAAAUUGUAGAGUAACUGCUACAGUCUUGACGGUAUCUUAUCAGAAAGCCACGGCUAACUACGUGCCAGCCGCCGCCGUAA
rnacentral:rRNA from 1 species